GGAAAAUAUCUAUAUCUUCUGAACUUUUUUCUGCAGCAUCUAGAAAUCCAUUUUCUGUUCUCUUUAAAAAAUCAGUAAUUUGGGUUUAUUUGCUUUUGCUUGAUAGAUCUUUGAAAUUUUAUGGGAUGGAGUUAAGUAUUUUUGAAGUGGUCUAUUUAAUUUUAUGCGUAUUUUAUUUAUUUAUUUGUUUAAGUCGAAGGGUCAUAAAAUACUGGAAUCUUCAAAUAGUUUUAUUUGGAAAUAUUGAAAAAUUACAUCCAAGAAAUGCUUUCCCCGCACAAAAUCUCAAAAUUGCAUUGUUAUGUGAGAUUUACUGUAAAUUCUAAAGGCCGCCACACACAGAACGAUUGUCGUUAGAUCAGUCGCUAGAUUUCCGUUUCGUCAGACCGAUUGUAUGUCCUCACACACGACAUAAUGUUCCAUGUGUGGAGUCCUGCGGUCGAUCUGACAGUUGGGCGGUUUGACAACGGAUCUGCCCUCAGAUACGUCGUCAAAUUGCCGGAUUGUCGGAUCGAUUGUGGGACUCCACACAUGGAACGAUUUAUCGUCAGAUCCGUCGUUGAGACCAAUCGUUCGGAUUCAUUGUCAAGCAAUCACUACAGUCAAAAUGUGUGGUGAGUAUGGGGUGCGAGAUACUUUCGUAUGCGGCUUUGGCUUUAUUACUUUAUAAAGAAAAGAAUAGAACGAAAAGAGAAGUUUAAGUUGUUUUUGUUUAGUUAAUCUAUCAGUGUGAACAACCUGUCGAAACAUUCUUUUCGACAGAUUUGCCCACACACGGUCGAAUCUGUCGAACGAAUUGUUCUCUGACGACAGAUCGCUCCGUGUGUGACGACGGCCUUU
rnacentral:lncRNA from 1 species